rnacentral:misc_RNA from 1 species
AAGUCGUAACAAGGUCUCCGUAGGUGAACCUGCGGAGGGAUCAUUAACACGUUAUAUUAUAUCCAUUAAACACCGCGAACUUGUUCGUUCUGACAGGGUGGUCCGGGUGGGCGUGUCGACCCUGGGUGGGCCAAAACCCAUCCAGCUGCAUCAGAUGCCCCGUCCGCGAUCGCAGCUGUUACCCAUCGUACUUUUUUUACUCCAAAAACAUUUGUCCCAGAACAUUGAGUACUCUAACGGGGCUCAAUUCAAACUAAACAUUCGUACAACUCUUGGCAACGGAUAUCUUGGUUCUC